GUCUUACACCUACCCAUUGAGUCGUUAAAACUCGCUCUUGGUGGGGACCGGCACCGGGCUGCGAACCCAGUACCUACCAGCCGUAUAUGUCUGAUGGCUUAACCACGAGACACUGCGUACUGGCUGACAAACGAAUACACAAACAAACAACAUGACCGACCGACAUAAUUUCUGUAGGCAGACAACAAAUCGCGAACUCGCUCUGCGGAGCUGCGUUGGCCAUUAUUAUCAUAUUCAUAUGGAGGUAACUGAAUUACUAACUGUGCGGAGAGACCCGUGGGCAGUAGCGGCGUGGCGCGCAGAUUGGUCUCUGAUUGGUGUUGUUGGCGCGCGCGCUCGAGUGCCCCGGAUAACUGGCUUUAUGUCAACAAGUGAGCGCUAAUCUAUGCAGAUGAACCUAUCUACUGUCGAGAUGAGUUGAUUGAUUGAUUGAUACCUGUCGUCCACCGAGGAUGACCACAUAGGAAAACGGGGCCCUUUUGAGACUGAUUGACCAUUGAUGGACCUACGAUUCGGCGAUUCUAAAGCUUCACUCGGCAAUGGUGGACAUAUGAUGAGCUAUGUAUGGUGGACACGAACUAAACCUCUGUUGUCACAAAUGGAAGUCGUGUUGUAUUAGAGAUAUUUGUUAAUUAACAAGCGGCCCAUACACAGUGCUGACCUCCGAACAAACACCAACAAACACUCACGCUACAGACAGUGGACACGUUUACAUAGCACGUCAAACUGGCGCCAAUGGACAACAGUUACAUUAAUAAACAUCAUUGUUGGACGUUU